CGCGCAGGCGGGUUUGUCAGUCAGGGGUGAAAUCCUACAGCUUAACUGUAGAACUGCCUUUGAUACUGCAAACCUUGAGUUCGGAAGAGAGAGGCGGAAUUCCAGGUGUAGUGGUGAAAUACGUAGAUAUCUGGAAGAACACCAGAGGCGAAGGCGGUCUCUUGGUCCGUAACUGAAGCUGAGGCGCGACAGCGUGGGGAGCAAACAGGAUUAGAUACCCUGGUAGUCC
rnacentral:rRNA from 1 species